UACGUAGGCAGCAAGCGUUGUUCGGAAUUACUGGGCGUAAAGAGUGUGUAGGCGGUGCUCUAAGUCUGUCGUGAAAUCUCCCGGCUUAACUGGGAGGGUGCGGCGGAAACUGGAGUGCUAGAGGGUGGGAGAGGUAAGCGGAAUUCCUGGUGUAGCGGUGAAAUGCGUAGAUAUCAGGAGGAACACCUGCGGUGUAGACAGCUUACUGGACCACUUCUGACGCUGAGACACGAAAGCGUGGGUAGCAAACAGG
rnacentral:rRNA from 1 species